ACGCUCGACACCUACGGGGCAGCAGUCGGGAAUAUUGCGCAAUGGAGGAAACUCUGACGCAGUGACGCCGCGUGCAGGAAGAAGGUUUUCGGAUUGUAAACUGCUUUAGACAGGGAAGAAAGAAAUGACAGUACCUGUAGAAUAAGCUCCGGCUAACUACGUGCCAGCAGCCGACGGUAAUCUGAGGCGGGCUGGCAAGGC
rnacentral:rRNA from 1 species